UACGAAGGGGGCUAGCGUUGCUCGGAUUGACUGGGCGUAAAGGGCGCGUAGGCGGUUCGUACAGUCAGACGUGAAAUUCCUGGGCUCAACCUGGGGGCUGCGUUUGAUACGUGCGGACUUGAGUGCGGAAGAGGGUCGUGGAAUUCCCAGUGUAGAGGUGAAAUUCGUAGAUAUUGGGAAGAACACCGGUGGCGAAGGCGGCUAUCUGGACCGUAACUGACGCUGAGGCGCGAAAGCGUGGGGAGCAAACAGG
rnacentral:rRNA from 1 species